AUAUUUUGUGUUGCUGAACUUUGCAACUUUUCUGUGUAGUGGAAGCCGGCAACACUGGAGGACACAACUGAACGAAUGAUGAGUACUGCAGCUGUUGUCUUGCGCCAGAGGCCACUUAAGAGAUUGCCUUGUCAGUUUCCAAACAAAUCUCUUCAGUGGAGACACAAGAUGCUUGACACCAACCAGCUUUCAGUUUGAAUAUAGAUAUGCACUUUAAAACUCAUAUAGAUGUCGCUGAACUUGCUGGGUUCUUCAAGCCAUUUGUUGUUUGCUCCAGAUUGCACAUUUGCAGUCAGUUGCGCCUUUUGGGUUGUUACAAAGUUCUGGAAACGUCAUGGAGCUGGUUAGAAGUUUCGCUGGGUUUUGGAAUAAGCAGUCAGCUUCCAGAGUGAUAGAAAUGUAGCAGACAGCAGAACUUACAAGUGACUCUGUGAAUGAUCUCUUCAAUAACACAAAUGUAGAGCAAGCACAUUUAUGGAAAUGUUUCCAGCACUUUGCUUUCAUUUCAGAUUUCCAUUUCUCACAUAUUCUGUACUGAUAAAGUUGUUUGACCGGGAACGUUAACUGUUUAUCCUUCCAGAGUGGUUAAACACAGUUACUUUAUGAGUUGCCAAUGACUCUGGAAAAUCAUUGCUGAAUUUAAUCCUGUAAAACUGAAAAUUGGCAAAAGAGGAACUCAUCACAUGUUGCAAUAUGCAAGUCAAGCAGCAUCUUUCAUGAGAAGUGAUGAAAGAUCAUUAACCUGAAAUGUUUCUUUGUGUUUUGUUCUUCACAGGUGCUGGGUAUCUCCAGCAUUUUCUUUUUUUUUUAUGCCAUUUGGUUCGUGUUUAGCACCAAGCAUAAGUCACUUCAGAAAUUGCUUGGUCAGAUUGUUUUGUAAUGAGAUCAAAUGAUCUGGAAAUAGUCAUCCUUGCAUUUCAAUUUGGGGAAGAUCAAUUUACAUUCACAUAGCACUGAAUUAAAGUAACUGACUUUCCUGGCCAUAUUUUUUUUUAAGGCAUCAGUUUCCAGGCUUCAGUAGGUUUAGUAGUUGUGAGGAAUUUAACCAAUAAAUAAAUUUGGAACAAUA